CCUACGGGUUGCAGCAGUGAGGAAUAUUGGACAAUGGGUGGAAGCCUGAUCCAGCCAUCCCGCGUGCAGGAAGACGGCCCUAUGGUUGUAAACUGCUUUUAUCUGGGGAUAAACCUACCUACGUGUAAGUAGCUGAAGGUACCAGAAGAAUAAGCACCGGCUAACUCCGUGCAGCAGCCGCGGUAACACGGAGGGUGCAAGCGUUAUCCGGAUUUAUUGGGUUUAAAGGGUCCGUAGGCGGACUAGUAAGUCAGUGGUGAAAUCCGACAGCUUAACUGUCGAACUGCCGUUGAUACUGCUAGUCUUGAGUAAGGUUGAAGUGGCUGGAAUAAGUAGUGUAGCGGUGAAAUGCAUAGAUAUUACUUAGAACACCAAUUGCGGAGGCAGGUCACUAAGUCUUAACUGACGCUGAUGGACGAAAGCGUGGGGAGCGAACAGGAUUAGAUACCACCGUAGUC
rnacentral:rRNA from 1 species